rnacentral:rRNA from 1 species
UACGUAGGGUGCAAGCGUUGUCCGGAAUUAUUGGGCGUAAAGAGCGCGCAGGCGGUCGUUCAAGUCGCGUGUGAAAGCCCCCGGCUCAACUGGGGAGGGUCACGCGAUACUGAUCGACUCGAAGGCAGGAGAGGGUAGUGGAAUUCCCGGUGUAGUGGUGAAAUGCGUAGAUAUCGGGAGGAACACCAGUGGCGAAGGCGACUACCUGGCCUGUUCUUGACGCUGAGGCGCGAAAAGCUAGGGGAGCAAACGGGG